UGCAAGUCGAGCGGACAGAAGGGAGCUUGCUCCCGGAUGUUAGCGGCGGACGGGUGAGUAACACGUGGGUAACCUGCCUGUAAGACUGGGAUAACUCCGGGAAACCGGAGCUAAUACCGGAUAGUUCCUUGAACCGCAUGGUUCAAGGAUGAAAGACGGUUUCGGCUGUCACUUACAGAUGGACCCGCGGCGCAUUAGCUAGUUGGUGAGGUAACGGCUCACCAAGGCGACGAUGCGUAGCCGACCUGAGAGGGUGAUCGGCCACACUGGGACUGAGACACGGCCCAGACUCCUACGGGAGGCAGCAGUAGGGAAUCUUCCGCAAUGGACGAAAGUCUGACGGAGCAACGCCGCGUGAGUGAUGAAGGUUUUCGGAUCGUAAAGCUCUGUUGUUAGGGAAGAACAAGUGCAAGAGUAACUGCUUGCACCUUGACGGUACCUAACCAGAAAGCCACGGCUAACUACGUGCCAGCAGCCGCGGUAAUACGUAGGUGGCAAGCGUUGUCCGGAAUUAUUGGGCGUAAAGGGCUCGCAGGCGGUUUCUUAAGUCUGAUGUGAAAGCCCCCGGCUCAACCGGGGAGGGUCAUUGGAAACUGGGAAACUUGAGUGCAGAAGAGGAGAGUGGAAUUCCACGUGUAGCGGUGAAAUGCGUAGAGAUGUGGAGGAACACCAGUGGCGAAGGCGACUCUCUGGUCUGUAACUGACGCUGAGGAGCGAAAGCGUGGGGAGCGAACAGGAUUAGAUACCCUGGUAGUCCACGCCGUAAACGAUGAGUGCUAAGUGUUAGGGGGUUUCCGCCCCUUAGUGCUGCAGCUAACGCAUUAAGCACUCCGCCUGGGGAGUACGGUCGCAAGACUGAAACUCAAAGGAAUUGACGGGGGCCCGCACAAGCGGUGGAGCAUGUGGUUUAAUUCGAAGCAACGCGAAGAACCUUACCAGGUCUUGACAUCCUCUGACAACCCUAGAGAUAGGGCUUUCCCUUCGGGGACAGAGUGACAGGUGGUGCAUGGUUGUCGUCAGCUCGUGUCGUGAGAUGUUGGGUUAAGUCCCGCAACGAGCGC
rnacentral:rRNA from 1 species